rnacentral:rRNA from 1 species
AUUGAACGCUGGCGGCAUGCCUAACACAUGCAAGUCGAACGGCAGCACGGCAGUAGCAAUACUGUGGGUGGCGAGUGGCGGACGGGUGAGGAAUACGUCGGAAUCUGCCCAGUCGUGGGGGAUAACUAGCCGAAAGGUUAGCUAAUACCGCAUACGACCGAGAGGUGAAAGCGGGGGACCGCAAGGCCUCGCGCGAUUGGAUGAGCCGACGUCGGAUUAGCUAGUUGGUGGGUAAAGGCCACCAAGGCGACGAUCCGUAGCUGGUCUGAGAGGAUGAUCAGCCACACUGGAACUGAGACACGGUCCAGACUCCUACGGGAGGCAGCAGUGGGGAAUAUUGGACAAUGGGCGCAAGCCUGAUCCAGCAAUGCCGCGUGUGUGAAGAAGGCCUCGGUUGUAAGUAGACUUUAUCUAGACGAAAGACGUGGA